UGGUGGAGUGAUUUGUCUGGUUAAUUCCGUUAACGAACGAGACCUCAGCUUGCUAAUUAGUUAUAUUAAUUGAUUAAUUUUAUUAAUUAAUAGUGAUUACUUCUUAGGGGGACUACAUAUGUUUAAUAUGAGGAAGUUUGAGGCAAUAACA
rnacentral:rRNA from 1 species